UACAGAGGUCCCAAGCGUUGUUCGGAUUCACUGGGCGUAAAGGGUGCGUAGGCGGUCGGGUAAGUCUGGCGUGAAAUCUCCAAGCCUAACUUGGAAACUGCGUUGGAUACUAUCCGACUCGAGGAAUGGAGGGGAGACUGGAAUACUUGGUGUAGCAGUGAAAUGCGUAGAUAUCAAGUGGAACACCAGUGGCGAAGGCGAGUCUCUGGACAUUUCCUGACGCUGAGGCACGAAAGCCAGGGGAGCAAACGGG
rnacentral:rRNA from 1 species